rnacentral:tRNA from 1 species
GGGGAUGUAGCUCAGUGGUAGAGUACUUGCCUAACAUGCAUGACGGCCUGGAUUCAAUCUCCAGCACCA